UACGUAGGGUGCGAGCGUUGCUCGGAAUUACUGGGCGUAAAGCGCACGUAGGCAGCUUUCUAAGUCGGGGGUGAAAUCCUGGAGCUCAACUCCAGAACUGCCUUCGAUACUGGAAAGCUCGAGUCCGGGAGAGGUGAGUGGAACUGCGAGUGUAGAGGUGAAAUUCGUAGAUAUUCGCAAGAACACCAGUGGCGAAGGCGGCUCACUGGCCCGGUACUGACGCUGAGGUGCGAAAGCGUGGGGAGCAAACAGG
rnacentral:rRNA from 1 species